CAGUGAUUAGUAUUUAAAUACGCAGCUUUCACCCCUCACUGCCUUCAUAACACUUCACUUCGUAACAGUUCACGGGAAGUGUAGUGGGAGAGCUUUGCAGUAAAUAGUCUGCUAAGUUCCCCUCCCGGCAGGGGGUAACGUGACAGGCCCGGCUCAGCGUGGCCCUCGGCACGGUGUCAGCCGUGGUCAGCCGGGGUCUGGGAACUGGCCUGGUGGGUGGUUGCCUUGAGUGGCUCCCAGAACCGAGCUGCCCGGACAGUGUGCUCCGUGUGGUUUGGGAUGGCCCAGGGGUAAAGGGCCUGCUUCCCUCCGGCAGACUGGAGUUGUCACAUGUGGCAGGUAGAGGCCGCCUCUCACUGAAAACGCAGGGCACCAGCUCUCAUGUACUUCUCUAGCCACGACACUUCACGCUUUUCACCAUUCACAGUUGGCAUGAAGCACAUCACAUGUCCACUGGGAAUGGACUCUCGGUACUAUGCCGUGUGUCCCCGGACAUCCUUUCGUGUUUUCCCUGUGUCAGCUGUGCUUUGUGUCCUUUAGUAAAUCCCAGUUGUGGGAUAUGGUGAUGUGCCGAGCCCUGGGGUCACCAGACCAGGAGGUGUCUCAGGGACCCCGAGACUGUAGUCACUUUUACUUCAUUUGUAAGAUCUGCAGUCGCUUGUAAUGAUUUCUGCUUUCUACCUGUCCUGUCUUACAUGGAGCUAUUUACUGGAAACCAUUAAAAUGAAACGAGUGUCCAGAUUUGCUCCCGCAGCCCCACUAGUCGUGUUCCAUGUGUGGCAGUGCCCGCCGCGUUGGGCAGCAUGGGGAGGGCACGCUUCUUCCAUUGCAGGAAGUUCUGCUGGACAGCAGUGUUUAGAGUCCUGUAUCUUCUCAAGAGAUUGAAAAGGAGAAAAAAGUUACAUUUUCCUACAUGUUUGCUAUUUCCUGCUCUGUUCAUUCCCCUGUGAGAUCCAGGUUACACAGCUCACCUGCUGAGGAGUCCUUCUAAAAACAAAACACAACACAACUUUAUGUUAGCUUCACUUGAAACAUCUUUUUAUUUUGCGAUUAUUGUGCAUUAACAGUUGUUGGGUUAACACCAGGUGGAUACAGCCUGUCCUUCCCACUCACCUCCUGGAGUCUGCACGUGCUCCUCUGUGUGUGGUGUGGGUUCUGUGCAGUAUUUUCAUGUACAGACUCCCAUGAACACUGUAGUCAGGACAGACAUUUCUGUCCCCGGGGCCCCCCGUGCUGCCCACUGUCGCUGUAGUGCCCCUUCGUGCCCUGCUCCGUUGCCAGCAACCCCUCACCUGUGCUCUGUGUCCAUAAUCCGCUCGUUUCAAGAAUUCGAUCUAGACAGGGCCAUACAGCCUGUAAGCCUUUGAAAUUGGCUUCUUUCCUUCGGCACAGUUUUCUGAAGAUCCAUGCAAGUUGCUGGUUUCAUCCACAGUUUAUUCUUGAUGGCCCUGGAACGUUCUCAUGCGGAUGGGCCACUUUGUUGUUCUGGCUUCCAGGCUGUGUGCCUCACAGUGGCCUGUUGCCUGUUUUACCCCUCCCCCCACCUUUUUUUUUUUUUUUUUUUUUAAAGAUUUUACUUAUUUGACAGAGUGCCCAUGCAAGCAGGGGGAGCAGCAGGCAGAGAGAAAGAGGCAGAAGCAGACUCCCCGCUGAACAGAGAGCCUGACGUGGGGCUCGAUCCCAGGACCCUGAGAUCAUGACCCGAGCAAAGGCAGAUGCUUCACUGAUUGAGCCACCCAGAUGCCCUUGCUUCCCAUUUUUUGAUCAUUAUCUAUAAAGCUGCUGUGACUAUUUGUGUAUGGGAGUGUGUGUGUGUAAGUGUGUUUUCAUGUCACUGGGAUGAAGCCCCAAAGUACACCUGAGGCGUUGUAUAAAGCACAUGUGUAGCUUUGUCAGAAAGUGCCCCACUGUUUCCCCGAGUGGCUGCAUGCACCAUUUUAUGUCCUUACCGCCAAUGUGUGGCUGACCCAGUUUCUCUGCAUCUUCACCAGCAUUUGGUGUGUCCCUGUUUUUAAUUUUAGCCGUCUGACAGGUGUGUAAUGUUACCUCCUUGUGGUUCUAAUUUUUGUUUCCCUCUUGGCGGUGGUGUGGACCAUCUGUGGACAAGCUCGGGCACCCUGUGUGUGGCCGACUCAGUGAGAUGUCCACAUCUCAUGUCAUUUUCUUUCUUUUUUUAAUUUAAGUUCAAUUGAGUGAACAUGGAGCUUGUUAUUGAUUGAUCAGCUGCAUCUAGCACACAGUGCUCAUUCUGGCGACUGCCCUGCUUCAUGCCCUCAGCUGUCAUUUUCUGAUGGACUGUGUUUUAUUUCUCUGCUGUGAGAGUCCUUUAGUCAAGUUCCUUGCUUGGUGCAUGGUUUGCAGACCUCUCUGCUGUGUGAUGUGUCUUUUCGUCCUCUUCACGUAGAGUCUUCAGUGGAGCAAACAUGUUUAACUUUGCCGGGAUCUGGUUUCUCUUUUUUACCUCUGACGUGUGAUGUUUGUGGUGUCAAGUCUAAGAACUCUGCUGAGACUUGGAAUCUAGAAGUUUUCUCCUAUGAGUUUUCUAAAAGUUUCAUAAUUGUACGUUUUACGUUUAAGUCCCUGACCCACUAUGAGUUCCUUUUUAUGGACAUCCAUCUGCCCAGUGCCAUGUAUUGAGAGGGUUAUUGACUGCUUUUGUGCCCUUCACCGUGACAGAUACUUUCACUGGAUAUGGUUCAGGGGGAUAGUUUAUUAUUUAUUUAUUUGAGAUUUUUAAUUUAUUCGUUCAUGACAGAUACAGAGAGCGGCAGAGUCAUAGACAGAGGGAGAAGCAGGGUUCCUGCAGGGAACCCGAUGUGGGACUCGAUUUCAGGACCCCAGCAUCAUGACCUGAGCUGAAGGCAGAGGCUCAACCACUGAGUGCCCAGGUGCCCCAAGGGAAUUAGUUAAAAAAAAAAAAUGCUUUCAUUGCAUUAGCAGCAUUCCUGCCUCGUCUCCUGGCCUGCGGUCUGUUUCCGUCUGUGCUAGUUGCUGCUGCGUUGCCUCUCAGGGCCCAUGUGUCCUCCUGUGCCUGGCUUUGUGACCCUGCUGCUGGACUCUGUACAUUCCUUUGUCGAGUCUUGGCACGAUGGAGAGCUUGGUCAGUAGAGAGAGCUGGGAGCUCACUGCAGGAGGAUGGGCUGCUGCUCUGGGGUUAAGUGCUUUCUUUCCAGGCUCCGGCGCUGUGUGACGCUCCAUCACAUCAGGCACUGGGCGGCUUCCCGGUGGGUCUGCAUGGCAGGUAUCCUGGCACCUGCAGCUGCUGGUUAGCCCAUCUCGCUGGUGUCCCAGCGGGCAUCUUCCCAGCCAUGUUGGGGUGCCCUGGCAGGAGGCUUUCUGCUUGCCCACCCUGGCCUCCGAUGCAUCAUAGCUGCGCCUUCAAACCAGGUUCGAAUCUCAGAUCUGUUGGGAUGCUGUUCCCAGACCUCACAUUCCUCUCUUCUUUGCAGUCCGCUUACACUUCCUGGAUAGCCCUGUGACUAUUCAAGAAGUCUUUAUAUUAGAUUUUCUUUUCUUCAGAUUAUUUGUGUGGUUUCUACCUCUCGACUGAAAUACAUUCUUCAUUUUCCAACAUAAAUGAAAAUGCAUCUUUUUCUUUUUUCCUGGCUGCUUUUAAGAUUUUUCUCUUCACUGGUUUUCUGUCAUUUGAUCAUGAUUAGCUUUGGGGGGUGCAUGUGUUUAUCCCGUUUAUAGCUUGUUGACUUUCUUAGGCCUGUGGAUUUGCAGUUUUUAUUGAAUUUGGAAAUUCUAGGUAUUGUUCAUCAAAUAGCAUGCCAUCUGCAGUUUCAGGUUCUUGUUCAGACUGUUUUGUGUGGACACCCCAGUUGGCAAGCCUCAGCUCCUCUGCUUCAGGCUGUUUUCUGUUUAUGCCUCAUCUCAGGUAUAUUCUCUUUCUACACCUUCACGUUUCCUGAUCUUUUCUGCUGUGGCAUCUCGGCUGCUGUUAGUCCAAGGCCAAGUAUUUUCCCUAUCAGAUAAUAUUAUUUUUACAGGCGCACAGCUGGCUCAGCCAGUAGAGCAUGUGACUCUUGAU
rnacentral:lncRNA from 1 species